GAUUAUAGAUGCGUACGAAUAAUAUAGGUGUUCUACAUAGUUUAUUAUUGGGAGUCAUGUGGAUGAAUAGACAAGAGUAUUUUCAUAUGUUGAAUAUUUUGUUUUAUCAUGAAUGGUGUGCGUGAAUGAUGGAUUGAUUUAAUUAAUGAUAUAUAUGUGGCAUCAAUUUUUGUUUUGGAUCUUCCAUUGUAUUAAAAAAUAAGCAUAUGCACUACCCCACAAGCAUAUGAUGAUGAUAUAUUUUCCAUUAAUAAGCGUAUAACCACGACCCGUAUUGUG
rnacentral:lncRNA from 1 species